rnacentral:rRNA from 1 species
AAAUUGAAGAGUUUGAUCAUGGCUCAGAUUGAACGCUGGCGGCAGGCCUAACACAUGCAAGUCGAGCGGUAGCACAGAGAGCUUGCUCUCGGGUGACGAGCGGCGGACGGGUGAGUAAUGUCUGGGAAACUGCCUGAUGGAGGGGGAUAACUACUGGAAACGGUAGCUAAUACCGCAUAACGUCGCAAGACCAAAGUGGGGGACCUUCGGGCCUCAUGCCAUCAGAUGUGCCCAGAUGGGAUUAGCUAGUAGGUGGGGUAACGGCUCACCUAGGCGACGAUCCCUAGCUGGUCUGAGAGGAUGACCAGCCACACUGGAACUGAGACACGGUCCAGACUCCUACGGGAGGCAGCAGUGGGGAAUAUUGCACAAUGGGCGCAAGCCUGAUGCAGCCAUGCCGCGUGUGUGAAGAAGGCCUUCGGGUUGUAAAGCACUUUCAGCGGGGAGGAAGGCGAUAAGGUUAAUAACCUUGUCGAUUGACGUUACCCGCAGAAGAAGCACCGGCUAACUCCGUGCCAGCAGCCGCGGUAAUACGGAGGGUGCAAGCGUUAAUCGGAAUUACUGGGCGUAAAGCGCACGCAGGCGGUCUGUCAAGUCGGAUGUGAAAUCCCCGGGCUCAACCUGGGAACUGCAUUCGAAACUGGCAGGCUAGAGUCUUGUAGAGGGGGGUAGAAUUCCAGGUGUAGCGGUGAAAUGCGUAGAGAUCUGGAGGAAUACCGGUGGCGAAGGCGGCUCCCUGGACAAAGACUGACGCUCAGGUGCGAAAGCGUGGGGAGCAAACAGGAUUAGAUACCCUGGUAGUCCACGCCGUAAACGAUGUCGAUUUGGAGGUUGUGCCCUUGAGGCGUGGCUUCCGGAGCUAACGCGUUAAAUCGACCGCCUGGGGAGUACGGCCGCAAGGUUAAAACUCAAAUGAAUUGACGGGGGCCCGCACAAGCGGUGGAGCAUGUGGUUUAAUUCGAUGCAACGCGAAGAACCUUACCUGGUCUUGACAUCCACAGAACUUUCCAGAGAUGGAUUGGUGCCUUCGGGAACUGUGAGACAGGUGCUGCAUGGCUGUCGUCAGCUCGUGUUGUGAAAUGUUGGGUUAAGUCCCGCAACGAGCGCAACCCUUAUCCUUUGUUGCCAGCGGUUAGGCCGGGAACUCAAAGGAGACUGCCAGUGAUAAACUGGAGGAAGGUGGGGAUGACGUCAAGUCAUCAUGGCCCUUACGACCAGGGCUACACACGUGCUACAAUGGCAUAUACAAAGAGAAGCGACCUCGCGAGAGCAAGCGGACCUCAUAAAGUAUGUCGUAGUCCGGAUUGGAGUCUGCAACUCGACUCCAUGAAGUCGGAAUCGCUAGUAAUCGUAGAUCAGAAUGCUACGGUGAAUACGUUCCCGGGCCUUGUACACACCGCCCGUCACACCAUGGGAGUGGGUUGCAAAAGAAGUAGGUAGCUUAACCUUCGGGAGGGCGCUUACCACUUUGUGAUUCAUGACUGGGGUGAAGUCGUAACAAGGUAACCGUAGGGGAACCUGCGGUUGGAUCACCUCCUUACCUUAAAGAA